AACCAACGCUGGCGGCGUGCCUAAUACAUGCAAGUCGAACGGGGUAGCAAUACCUAGUGGCGCACGGGUGAGUAACGCGUGGAUAAUCUGCCUUAGAGUGGGGGAUAACUAGUCGAAAGAUUAGCUAAUACCGCAUAAGACCACAAGAGCUGCGGCUCAAGGGGUCAAAGGUUUUUCGCUCUAAGAUGAGUCCGCGUAAGAUUAGCUAGUUGGUGAGGUAAUGGCUCACCAAGGCGACGAUCUUUAACUGGUCUGAGAGGAUGAUCAGUCACACUGGAACUGAGACACGGUCCAGACUCCUACGGGAGGCAGCAGUAGGGAAUAUUGCACAAUGGAGGAAACUCUGAUGCAGCGACGCCGCGUGAGUGAUGAAGGCCUUCGGGGCGUAAAGCUCUGUCGCAGGGGAAUAACACAAUGAAUGUACCCUGUAAGAAAGGAUCGGCUAACUUCGUG
rnacentral:rRNA from 1 species